CAGAAGCCUUCUUUCCUUCUCCGUGAGAUAGACCCCAAUUAAGCAAUUGCAGCUCCCAUUCUGGUUCUUAUCCCCCCGAUCAGCAACAUCCUUUCCCUUUCCCAAUUAUGGUUCUUCUCUCCCCGAUCUAGGUUUUUUACACAGAAGAGUCUCAUCGAUCAACCUCUCCCCGAUCUAGGUCAAGAAGACACUGUUGGUGGAGUUCUUCGAUCCGAUUUUACAAAGUAUACUGUUGUUGCACGAUUUUGGACAUUCCUCCACCGCCAAGCUUCGUGGCUAUCACAGUUGUUGGUGUCGAACCCAGAACUGUUCUCAGCAAAACUGUUGGUCCGUCGAUGUUGGUCCCAGAUUGCAAUUCCGUGCUUCCCAUGAUCUCAAGGCACAACAAGGAGAGGCAACUAUGGUUGCGAAGCUUGCUGACCCUGGAUAUGCAUUUCAACUCUCUUCUUCUUUCCAUUCUGCUGGUUUGGUGAGUCAAAUAUAGCAUUUUUGGACACACUAGCUUUCAACUGUCAUCUGCGACCUGCCAUUCCAUUUAGACAUGCUUUCUUUGUUUGUUUAAAUUCUUAGCAAGCAACUCGAACUAGAUGCAGUAAAGACUCUGAGGCUAAGAUUGGUUGAGGAUGUAUCUCUUGGAGGUCUACUGCUCUGAGGUUCAGUAUUAUUGCACAGUUGUUUUUGUUUUUGCACAUUUGAUCUCUCUGAAACAUGCCUCAUCAUUUAUGAUUUAUCUUGCUGAGUUUUGAUAAGUCAAGAUUCAUCAUUUGAAUUUCCGUUGGUCAAUUUGUUCUUCGAUGUGAUUGCACUGUAUUACAGGUUGUUCCAGUAUGCAUAUGUAUAUGUACAUAUAGUGACAAAUAGAAAAGUAGCCAACUUUAAGUAGUUCACUAUCUUUCUGUUGCAGCUACCAAAAUGAUCAUAGUAAGUUUUAUUCCCUUAAGUAUUUUUCUGGUGCUUGAAGCCAAAAGCUACCCUUAAAUUCCCCCUUGGUGAUGUUACUUUGGAGGAAAAAGAAGAGGAGGAGACGAACAAAAUGUUGUCUAUAAAUGGCAUUGUUAAAGGCCAACUUUUGAACGGGCUCUGCACUGCUCACUAUGUGGAUGAUGAGUUGAAGUAACAAUACUCAUUCAAGGAUGAGUUGUCGUCUUUUAUCCCAUUUAUUUCGCUGCCUUCAAAUGCAUUGUCAUUUGCUUUUAAGCGUCGCUUCGGUCCUUCAGACAAGUUGAGGUUAGUAAUCUCUUCCAUUUUUCUUUCUUCCCUAUAAGCGUGCAAUUUUUAUUCAUUUCUUUUGGUUUUGUCUGUUGGGUUCAUGAUUCACUUGCUUGGUGAGUGGUGACAGAUUUAAGUACUUAUUAAUAUAUAUAUUUUUUUUGGAGGAUAAUGGAACGCUAGAUAUGAAUGUUAUGUGAAACAAAUGAGGUGCUUUAUUUUGUGCUUAUGAAAUCCAAUUCAGGUUGAGUUGGCCACUUAACAUGUUCUAUGUCCUUUGCUACUUACCUAAUAUUGUUAUUUCAUGCGUGGUCCUUGUAAUGUUGCCAAGCAAAUCCUAUCUCCAAUAAUUAAUCGUUUUAGCAUGAGUGAUUCUUGUAAGUUGUUCCUGUCAAGCAUUUAAGAAUGGAAGUUGGAAAUGGAUGAUUUGCACCUAUCUGAAGCUAUUCUGAGCAGUUUGAGCAGUUUCAGCGCUUUGGGAAUCUGAUGAAAUUCUCUUCGUUUCUGAUUUGUUUUGAGAUUGAAAAAUUUGAUCUUUUCAGGACAAAUAUAUAAUCAGGACAUCUCUGAUUCCCUUUCAUCUCCGCUAGGCUGCAUGCUCAUUCUACGGUUAAUUGUUGAAUAACUUAAUGGAGUUGUCUGUGGCCCAGAUCUACCUUCCAAAUACAUACGAGACAGUGCAUUUGAACCGCAAUGUUGGGCUGCUCCAGGGAUACAUAUGAUACCAGCUUCUACUUAGGAUUUCCACUUUUGUAAUAUGCAAGUAUAAUUGUAGGUUAUUUCAGGUGUCUUGGACAUUCUAAUCUUCAGAUUCCUCCAUUUGUUUAGAUAGAUCUUUUUCAGAUCAUUCUAGCUCAAGCAUUGAGUAUAGGUUAUCUAAAUUCAUGCUUAUUUAAAUAGUUUGGCAUAGUGGGUGAUGACAGAUGGUUGUUUCUUUCCUAAAAGUCAUUCGUUGUUUCUUUCCAUUUUGUGAAUGUACAGAUGGUUUCAACAAUGAAGAAGUCGAUCUUUGAUGAACAAACUAACAAGGCCUUAAGGAAAUUGCAAAAGAAUGCUCAAAAGAAGAGAAGGCAUCAUGAUGUGGUUCGAGCUGAAUGGGCAAAUCAUGUUAUACAGUUCUAACUUUAGUUCUGUUUAAGGUAGAUGAGUAGCACUUGGAACUGCUUUUGUGCAUUUAUAUACAACUGAUGGAAAGAGCUGAUGAACUUAAAUUAUGCAUGCAGUUGCUCUGUCUAGCUACUCUUUCUUUACCUUAUAGGUUUUUGACUUGGUGCACUUAAAUGAUCGAGAUAAGAUGGUUUUUUGGUUCUCUCGAUCAUAAUGUAACUGUUGGCUAGGUUUAGAGUUGGAACUAUGGAUUGUAUUUUGGAUGAUGUUGAUGCAAUUAAUGAAACGUAGCCAUCAUUUUCAAUGCUGAUUUUAGUCCAAUUUUAUGGUUUUGAUGAUUGUAAAUGACUGAUGUUGAAAUGGUUGAAAGGCAACAGA